UACGUAGGGUGCAAGCGUUAAUCGGAAUCACUGGGCGUAAAGCGCACGUAGGCGGAUCUUUAAGUCAGGGGUGAAAUCCCGAGGCUCAACCUCGGAACUGCCUUUGAUACUGGGGAUCUCGAGUCCGGGAGAGGUGAGUGGAACUGCGAGUGUAGAGGUGAAAUUCGUAGAUAUUCGCAAGAACACCAGUGGCGAAGGCGGCUCACUGGCCCGGAACUGACGCUGAGGUGCGAAAGCGUGGGGAUCAAACAGG
rnacentral:rRNA from 1 species